AAGUUUCAAGUGAUCUUGUUAUUUCUCUCAACUGAUCCUAGAACGACAUUAAGGGACAAUGCGAAAUCUUGUCAUAUCCAAGACUAGACAUUAGAUUUACAUGUACAACAUAAAACACAGUUAGGGAACUGUGUGUAUCACUAUUACUUCAAAGCUCCAGGGUGCUAUUAUCAACUGGAGUGCCUAACCGUGUGGAGUUUGCAUGUUGCACUUACAUAUGGAUCUGCAUAUUUUGUCUGGUUUCCUUGGAGACUAAUUAGGUAUGACUGCCUAUUCUAUAUUGUGUUUAUGCUAGAAAAAUUUGUUCCUAAUACAUCUAUGGAACGACAGGGAAACUGAACCAAAGUGAGCUUCAUGGGCCAAAACUCCUACCUAUUGUGGAAAACCUGAGGUGCCAAUAAAAAUACUUCAACAUUUUAUACAUGCAGGAAACUGAACUGACUGUUCGCAAAAGAGACGACACUGAACAGAAGCCAGAAAGGCUUGGGGCUCAUGUGUGGAUACGCUGUACCACUUCACUAGGAUGUUUGAACUGAUAUGCAACAUGAGAACUGUACUUGGGAAGCUUGAUGUGUACCAGUCUGCAUCUUAGACACACCUAACACAAUUAUACGUAUUUGCUCGUAUCCAAGGCUCCGUGUUCACAAGCGAGCACAGGCCUCGCCGUCAGAGAGCCUGUGAAAGAAAACCUGAUGAUGACGACAUCAGACAAAGGCACAAACACGUGCUCGCCACCCCCCCCUACCCAUUUCUCAAAGACUUGGACGCGAGAUAUUCCACUGACUCAAAUACAUCAACGUCAAAAAGAAAAAGAGAGGAACUCAACACCCCCUACGGUACAAAGUCAAUUAAACUGGCUAUACUAACGAGCCGCCAGGUAGUCUCUCGUCUGCCCUGGCAUCACACAGGAAGGCCGGUCCCCGCACUCCUGCCGGGGUCCCUCUUGUCUGAGCCGCCGGGAGAUAACCCCUACCCCGUGUUACUCCUCUCUCUCUCCAGUACUGCAACCACACACAACCGGCAUCUGAUCGUUUAUUUGAAAAAACAAAGAUAGUGGAAAGGGCAAGAGGAAAGGGCCCGAGGGAAACACGAGCCGACACGAGAUCCGUGCCGCCUGCAAAACCGGAGAGCGGCUCCCCCUUGCACUUUUCCCCCCACGGCGCCGUAAAGAAAAAUCACCGUUUCUGCUCCCUGGGCCUCAAGCUUGCGUAGCGUUUAUCUGUCGGUAGAGAUGUCUUUUUAAAUUCUCAUUUAAAACCCGCCGUUGUCAUAAUACAAAUCUGCGACUAAGAGAGUCGUGGCAAAGCAUGAAUCCCCGCUUUAAACCCAGCACGCAAAAAGCCGGUUAUCCGGAAAACUAGGCCCAAGAGUAAGAUGCCCUCGUUACUAAACCCUGGAUCAUAUCUCAAGCCACGAACCUACCUCGCCGUGACGAACAACGCGUCAAGUGCAGACUGGUCCAAGAAUUACUGCUUCUUGUAUGGAAGCCUAAGAGCUGAGCUUCAGAAGUCUUCUGUGAUUGUACCCUGAAGCAAUGUUUAUUUAGAAGACCAGACUGAACCUGUACUGCUCUUGCAUAGUAUCAAGGAAAAGUGAAAUAGCAGAGAAAAGGGAUAUAGAGACGUUGUAGUUCCUCGAGUUGAACAAAUUAAACCUUCCAGAAAAGACACCUGACCAAGCCGACAGCAGUACAAAGUUAUGAAGACACGUGAAAAAAACACCAACUUUCCAACAAACCUUAAAACCAUUACCUAUAGCAGCGGUAUUUUUUUUCUGAUUGAAAUGUACAUACGUAUAUUUGAAGAUAUGCUAAGAUUUAAACUAAUUUAAUCUUUUUAGAUUUUUUGAGGACCAGACAGCAAAGAUGUUGAAUGUCACCUAAGAAACCUAACAACUCUGGGGACUGGACUUUACUUUAGCUCCAGUUAUUUAUUGACAGAGAUUUAGGAUACAGUGAAGGAGUACCCAGCAUAAUUGAAUCCACAAAUGUGUGCUUGAGUUUGACUAGGGGAGAGGACAGAUAUACAGAUAGAUUGGCCAUAAUGUUUUUAUCAUAGUGUUGCGCCAGUGACAUGGCAUGUUUCCUUGCAUAUAUAACAUACUUCACUUCAGUGAUAAUCAUAGGUGAAGGCAGGCCAGUGACCAAAAUUAAUUUAUUAAGCAGAAGUUUUUGUGUCUUCACAAGCCAUGAAGUGCAUUGAAAGUCGAUCAUGCACACUACAGUCGAUGUGUUACAUCAGAGCCAUGGCCAGAUGAUAGCACCACAAUGCCUGGAAGAGAUCAAAGCCAUCUUUGAACAGUAAUGUUUUAAUUUCUUUAGGUUUAGGGGUCACAGUCCCCUCAGUGAGCUAACAUCCAUGACUGCCCUAUGCCCCAGGGACUGGGACUCCCUAUAUUGCUGUUUUGCCCAAAAACCCACACUGUUGAUCUGCUGCUCUUGGAAAUUCGCUGGAGAAUUGGAAUGUUACUGUCACAAUUCAGAUCAUGGAGUGAUCGGAGGUAGAACCCUAUGUGUGGCGGGAGUACCAAACUUAGGCAGAAACAGGCUUGAAUCAGAUAUCAAGGCUUGAAUCAGACAUAAGGGUUUAUUCGUGCAGACACAGAGUACAGGUGAAUAAUGUGAAUAAUGAUUCAAAGGAAUACUCAGUCCAUACCAGAUCCACAAGCACAACCAGGAUACAGUCCAAAAUCCAAGGAACCAGGAGAUCCAUCCUUCACAUCAGGGGGCUGGGGACUCCUAGGAGUAGGCCUUGCCCCCCCCAGGCAUGCAUCUGACAAUGCCGAGCCCAAAGCAUAGGGAGCACUAGGCUUAAUAGACAGGUAACCAAAACAAUGUGAGAAUCAUGCACACCCAGAUAGGCUAAAGGUGUCAGCUUGAAUUCCAGCUAAUUAGCUACUUUAGGAUGUGGAGAGGGCAGCUGAGCACCCUCUAGGGGCGGGAUGCCAAUCGUGACAUUUGCGCUAUGGUUAUGUAAUAAGUGUAUGCUCUUUCAAAACUCUGGAUUUUAAUUACCUGCAUUAGGAGAAUUCUAAUGCACGUUUGUGUUAUAUACAGCCAGGGUUAACAACAGGGUCAACAGUUCUAUAUGCUAUCCAGGAAGAUUGCAGAGACAAAGGAAAACCUCUCAAGCACAUUCUCACAACUCAUUCAUACCCUGCUCUGACACCAACUUUGGCGGAGAUGUUGGUGCGUUUUGAAUAGGGGUCUUUUCCCCUGACCUACAGCAAAACGUUUGAAAAGAAAUCUACAAAUAACGAACAUGAAAACGUAAAUAUCUGUUUACUUGCAUAUUUUCAGUAUGCUUCAAGAACUCCAGUUAGAAACUAUGUUAAUGAAAUU